rnacentral:rRNA from 1 species
CCUACGGGUUGCACCAGUGGGGAAUUUUCCGCAAUGGGCGAAAGCCUGACGGAGCAAUGCCGCGUGGAGGUAGAAGGCCCACGGGUCGUGAACUUCUUUUCCCGGAGAAGAAGCAAUGACGGUAUCUGGGGAAUAAGCAUCGGCUAACUCCGUGCCAGCAGCCGCGGUAAUACGGAGGGUGCGAGCGUUAAUCGGAAUUACUGGGCGUAAAGCGCAUGCAGGCGGCCUGUUAAGUCAGAUGUGAAAGCCCGGGGCUUAACCUCGGAAUUGCAUUUGAAACUGGCAGGCUAGAGUCUUGUAGAGGGGGGUAGAAUUUCAGGUGUAGCGGUGAAAUGCGUAGAGAUCUGGAGGAAUACCGGUGGCGAAGGCGGCCCCCUGGACGAAGACUGACGCUCAGGUGCGAAAGCGUGGGGAGCAAACAGGAUUAGAUACCCGAGUAGUC